AGACUGAACCCUGGAACUCAGGAAGAGUUUCUCAGCUGAAACCUGCCUGCCUGCUCUCAGAAGGUCUGCUGAGCUCAAACUAUCAGAACCUGCCUGUCCGCUCCCAAGAAGAGAACUGGAAGAAACUCUGAACCUAAACACUGACAAGUCUGAAGUCGAGCCCUGCCGUUGCCUAGCCCUCUGCCGACCAUCUGCCUCUGGACCCUCCUGGUUCCCUCCCUCAGCUGCUUAGCCUGAACCACAUCACAGAGAACCCUGUGUGACCAGUCCCGGAUCUGUUUCCCCAGCUUCAAGUUUAUUAACUUUGUGUUUUUUCAAUAAACAGUCAAACUUUU